UACAGAGGUCCCAAGCGUUGUUCGGAUUCAUUGGGCGUAAAGGGUGCGUAGGCGGCGCGGUAAGUCGGGUGUGAAAUCUCGGGGCUUAACUCCGAAACUGCAUUCGAUACUGCCGUGCUUGAGGACUGGAGAGGAGACUGGAAUUUACGGUGUAGCGGUGAAAUGCGUAGAUAUCGUAAGGAAGACCAGUGGCGAAGGCGGGUCUCUGGGCCGAUACUGACGUGAGGAGCGAAAGCGUGGGGGAGCAAAACAGG
rnacentral:rRNA from 1 species